ACCCCCCACCCCCCCCCAAAUCCCAAAAUCCCAGAGUGGGAUUUGGGGCAAAAAACUGGGAAAAAAACUCAUCAGUGGCAACGGGGGGAGGGGGCACCCCGGCAUGGGGGGGGUGAUUUUGGGGACACCCCACCCCCCCCUUCCCUAAAAGGGAUUGGAGCCCCCCUAAAAAGGAGGGGUGCCCCCCUAAGAGACUGUGAAAGGGGGUGACGAGGGGACCCCCCCCCAGCCCCGAUGUCACCCCAAAGGCUGCACUGCACUUUCUGGACUGGGUGUCCCCCCCAAAAUUUGGGGUCCCUCCAAGCCCACCCCCGUUUCUGGGACGGGUUUGGGUGUCGCUGUCGUUCCCCACCCCGUGUGUGUCCCCCCGCCUCCAUGAUCACUCAGGACUUGGGGAGCCCCCCCCCAAAUCGGUGUCACCUCACCUCGUGUGUACCCUGUGUGUGUCCCCCAUGUCCCCCCCCACCGUGUGUCCCCUCCCCUGGGCUCCCCACACCCCCCCAAGCAAUAACUGGAGCCGCCGGACGCGCCGAUGGCGGAGGACGACGGCGGAGGUAGGGAGGGCCCUGCCCGGGUGUCCCCCCGUCCCCUUGUGGUGGCAAUGUCACCCCAGAAGUGGGGGGAGAAGGGGGGAAACCGGCCCCACUGCGAGGCCAGGCUGCGUUUCCAUGGUAACGGGACCAGGCCUGAGCCCUCACUGCGGGGCCAGGCUGCGUUUCCAUGGUAACGGGACUAGGCCUGAGCCCUCACUGCAAGGUCAGGCUUUGUUUCCAUGGUAAUGGGACUAGGCCUGAGCCCUCACUGCGAGGCCAGGCUGUGUUUCCAUGGUAAUGGGACUCGGCCUGAGCCCUCACUGCGAUGCCAGGCUGCGUUUCCAUGGUAACAGGACCAAGCCUGAGUCCUCACUGCGGGGCCAGGCUGCGUUUCCAUGGUAACGGGACUAGGCCUUAACUCUCACUGCGAGGCCAGGCUGCGUUUCCAUGGUAACGGGACCAAGCCUGAGCCCUCACUGCGGGGCCAGGCUGCGUUUCCAUGGUAACAGGAGCAGGCCUGAGCCCUCACUGCGGGGCCAGGCUGCGUUUCCAUGGUAACAGGACUAGGCCUGAACUCUCACAGCGAGGCCAGGCUGCGUUUCCAUGGUAACAGGACUAGGCCUGAAUCCGCACUGCGAGGCCAGGCUGCGUUUCCAUGGUAACAGGACUAGGCCUGAACUCUCACUGCGAGGCCAGGCUGCGUUUCCAUGGUAACGAGACCAGGCCUGAGCACUCACUGUGAGGCCAGGCUGCGUUUCCAUGGUAACAGGACUAGGCCUGAACUCUCACAGCGAGGCCAGGCUGCGUUUCCAUGGUAAC
rnacentral:lncRNA from 1 species